rnacentral:rRNA from 1 species
UGCAGUCGAACGCGUCUUGGUUAUUGAUGUUAGAUGCUUGCAUUUAACUGAUUUAACAUUGAGACGAGUGGCGAACUGGUGAGUAACACGUGGGUAACCUGCCCUUGAAGUAGGGGAUAACACUUGGAAACAGGUGCUAAUACCGUAUAACAACCAAAACCACCUGGUUUUGGUUUAAAAGAUGGCUUCGGCUAUCACUUUAGGAUGGACCCGCGGCGUAUUAGCUUGUUGGUAAGGUAACGGCCUACCAAGGCAAUGAUACGUAGCCGACCUGAGAGGGUAAUCGGCCACAUUGGGACUGAGACACGGCCCAAACUCCUACGGGAGGCAGCAGUAGGGAAUCUUCCACAAUGGACGAAAGUCUGAUGGAGCAACGCCGCGUGAGUGAUGAAGGGUUUCGGCUCGUAAAACUCUGUUGUUGGAGAAGAACAGGUGUGAGAGUAACUGUUCACAUCUUGACGGUAUCCAACCAGAAAGCCACGGCUAACUACGUGCCAGCAGCCGCGGUAAUACGUAGGUGGCAAGCGUUGUCCGGAUUUAUUGGGCGUAAAGCGAGCGCAGGCGGUUUCUUAGGUCUGAUGUGAAAGCCUUCGGCUUAACCGGAGAAGUGCAUCGGAAACCAGGAGACUUGAGUGCAGAAGAGGACAGUGGAACUCCAUGUGUAGCGGUGAAAUGCGUAGAUAUAUGGAAGAACACCAGUGGCGAAGGCGGCUGUCUGGUCUGUAACUGACGCUGAGGCUCGAAAGCAUGGGUAGCGAACAGGAUUAGAUACCCUGGUAGUCCAUGCCGUAAACGAUGAGUGCUAAGUGUUGGAGGGUUUCCGCCCUUCAGUGCUGCAGCUAACGCAUUAAGCACUCCGCCUGGGGAGUACGACCGCAAGGUUGAAACUCAAAGGAAUUGACGGGGGCC